rnacentral:lncRNA from 1 species
GCUUCUCCUGCUUGUGCGGGUAUUCUCUUGCUCUCUCUUGCUAAAAUCAAUCAAUCAAUCAAUCAAUCUAUCUUUUUAGAAAAGGAGAGAUUAGCAGGUGUUAGGUGUUAAAACCUAGGAAUAACAAAAAAUUCAACUUUUUUUUUUUUUUGUAAUCAGAAAGGCUGUAGGGAAAUGGAGGAAAAGUAUCUCGCUUGUGUGUUUUAAUAUUAUCUACUGCUGUCAUGAACUCCUCAUGUCAAGACAUUUGGAAAAACACCUGAGAGGAUGGGUGUGCUUGUUGGGGACUCUGGGAACCACUUCAUUAUCCAGAGCUGCAGUCUGAUCUGAAAUAUCAUCAGGCAUCAUCUUGAUCAUCUUGGGAAAGAAGUCUUCUGACGUCCUGAGUCCUCAGUCUUCUGAAGCAAUCUGCUGGUCCCAAGUUCUCCCUUUCCAAGGACCUGGAAGAAAGACGGUGAUAAACCAAAGACGCUUACAGCUUCAUCAGCUCGAAGGACAUGACUUAUUUUCCUCUUCCUUGAACUUUGCUUGGCUUCCCGAGAAGAUAACUUAUUUUUAUUUCUCUCUUUAUUUCUUUAUUUUGUAUCAGCCUGUAUUAAAGUCCUAUAAAUAACCCUGGAGACACA